GGGGGCUGUCUGGUGUCGUGGGUACGGCCAGGGACCUUGACGAGGCGCAGGCUGGGAGCUGCGUCUCCUCCCACCCUGGAGCCCGAGGCCCAGGUGAGGCGCGGCCCGGGCAUUGGGUUCUCGGGCUGGACCUUUACCUGCCUUCUCCUCCGCAGGAGCGGAGAUGGGCUGGCAGAGACGCUCUGCUGCCACUUGGCAGAAGGACCCCGUGGUAGGAAAGCGAGACCCGAUUAAGCCUUGCCAGGUACUGACUCAUUCCACCUAUGUGGAAGGGUGUGCAACCUUGAAAAGAACAUUUGGAUUAAAAAUAGUGGGUGAACUUGUGGUUCUAAUGCUAACGCCCUUUUUAAUUCAUGGAGUACAGUACAGUAUACUAUAUUUCUAGGGUUUAACCGCCUUACUUAAGUGUCCCAGCCAGUUUUUAACACGUGCUUUUUCUGCUAAUUUACAGAGUUCAAGUGGAGUCACACUUACAUUUUGAACUUCAUUUCUAAUGCAGACACUUAAAACAGCUCUAUUCACCUCCCAAAAAGGUAAUGCGGAUUCCUCCAGUAAAGGAGCAUAUGAGUAUUUAUUGAAUUCUUGUGCUUGUCAAAAACCACAACAUUAUCUGUGUUUUCACUGAAGGAAAAGCACUGCCAAAAAGCGGGGGGCCUGGGGAGAUGGGGAGGCAAAGGAGGAUUGGGAAGCAAAUACUUAACCCUGUACAUACCGGGAUUUUCAUCCACCGGUGUGAAAGUUUGUAGAAAAUAAGUGUUGGUGAGGAUAUGGAGGAACUGGAACCCUUGUGCAUUGCUUGUGGGCAUGCAAAAUGGUGUAGUUGCUUUGAAAAAGUUUGAUGAUUUCUCAGAAAAUGAAACACAGAGUUACCAUAUGAUCCACUGAAAGCAGACACUCAGUUACUGGUACAUCCAUGUUCACAGUAACAUUGUUUCCAAUAGCCAAAGGGUAGAAACAACCCAAGUAAAUGUAGAAAGGAAUGGAUAAACAAAAUGUGGUAUGUACAUGCAAUGGAGUAUUUAGUCAACCUUAAGGAGUCAGUAAUACCUGCUACAACAUAGGAGAAUCUUGAAAACAUGUUAAGUGAAAUAAGCCAGACACAAAGACAAAUACUGUAUGAUUCCACCGAUAUGAGGAACUUAGUCAAGUUCAUAGAGACAAAAAGUGAAACAGAGUUUACCAGGGUCCAGGGAGAGGAGAGAAUGGGGAGUUACUAUUUAAUAGGUACAGAAUUUGUUUGGGAUGAUGGAAACGUCCUGGAAAUGUGAUGGUUGUACAACAUUAUGAAUGUAAGUAACGCCUCUGAAUUACACACUUAAAAAUGGUGUAUGGACUGUAUAUUUCACCAUACACACACACACACACACACACAGAACUCAUCAAAUACAAUCUAUAUUUGCAACCAAUCAUUGGAUAACUUUAAUUCCAGCAUUUGGGUUGUACAAACAUAAUUUGUGAAAACCUUUUCAAGUUUUGAUUUGAGAACUAAAUGAGAGAAAUUCAUGUUCAAAGCUUACAAGAUGCUGUUUUUCAGUGUAUGUGUGUUUGUUUUAAAUUCUGAAUACACUAGAUAGUAUGUGCAGGAUGAAUAUAGGUAACGAUGUUUAAAUGUUAGAAUUCCUAAACACUCAACUACAUACAUUGUAUUAUACACACUGGAGACAACCAAAUCUAUUCUCGUUAUGUAGUUGGAAAUAAACUAUUUUGAUAUCUUACAUUUGACCUAUCAAUCAACAUCAUUAGAAAAACCAUAAUUUCAGGGCACCUGGGUGGCUCAGUUGGUUAAGUGUCUGACUCUUGGUUUCAGCUCAGGUCAUGAUCCCAUGGUCAUGAGAUCAAGCCCCACAUCAGGCCCUGGGCUGAGUGUGGAGCCUGCUUAAGAUCCUCUCUUUCCCUCUGCCCUUCUUCCCUGCUCACACUCAAAAUAAAUAAACUUAAAAAAAUAAAGUGUUAAAAACAAACAAAAAAGCCCCACAAUUUCAAACUGGCUCUUUCUAAACAUACAGCCAAGACAAAUGGCAUCUUCCAUACUGUUAUUCGGAUGGAUUUUACCUUAGGGGUUUUUUUGGGAGGUGGGGAGGCUAAAUGCUCCCUGCGCAUAGUUCAUAUAUUUCAAAUACCAUUUUCUUAGCCAUUCGACAAGUAAGAAAAUGCUGAUUUAUUUUCUCCCCUUUUGUAUAUGGGAAAAUACAAGGUGUUCAAGCUGAGAUGGUAUGUAUACGAUGCCGAAACCUUCAUCAACUCCUCCAAAGCUUGUUUGCACUCUUCUGUUUGGACUGUUUUUCCAUGUGUGGCUUGUGAAAUCACAGGAGGAGUGACUAUUGCCCAGGUACGUGUUUAGCUGGCACAGCAGUGCUUUCCAGGUUGCCCACUAACCUUGUGAGUACAUGUGAAUAGAAUUAUUCUUUUUUCCACCAUCAAAAUGAGUGACCGUUAUUUAGAGCAACGAAUUCAUGUUAAGUUGUGUGUAAAGUUAAAUAAAUCUGCAAGUGAGACACUUGAGAUGUUAAAAGUAGUUUAUGGUGAAGAAGUAAUGUCGAGAGCAAGAGUUUUUGACUGGCACAAAAGGUUUAAAGAAGGCAGAGAUGAUAUCCAUGGUGAUGUGAAAAGUGGCUGUCCAGUUAUCCACAGAACACAGGAAAACAUUGAGAAGGUCAGAAAUCGGGUUGGCUCAGAUAGCUGAAAAGUGAAAUGUAGACUAAGAAACAAACUCAUGCUGAAAGAAAACUUGCACAUGAGGAAAGUUUCUAGGAGGAUUAUAUCUCAUUCUGUUGUGGUUCAGGACCCUGCUGAGGCCAAACGAUAACAGAGCUGCACAUGAACCUGACACUUGGGUAUAUAUUCAGGGCACAAUCCUACAUACAGUUUAGUUUCACUGGUCUUGGAGUAACUUGUAUCUGAAUCUCAAGUGAGCUGAGCUUUUUCAAACGUGUUCCGUUGGCUUUGUAGGUACAUGAUUUGAGCAGAGUCAAACCUGUGGAGUUGAGUGUGACAAAGGAGAGAGCGUGGAGCCUAGAGGUUUAUUGGGAACCUGGCCCUCUGUUACCGCAGUACCUAAAUUUCUACCUUGUCUUUUCAGGGUGAGCUCAUUUGAAUAAUCAGUAGGUUACCUACAGUCUGGGCAGUUAAACUUUCAACAAGGAGCUGGACAUCAGUGUUACUCUGUAUGGAAAUACUUCAUGUUAUUUUUUUAAUGUUUAUUUAUUUUUGAGGGAGAGAGUGUGAGCGGGACAAAGAGACAAUGGGGGGACAGAGGAUGCAAAGCGGGCUCUGCACUGACAGCAGUGAGCCCGAUGCGGGACUUGAAUUCACGAACCAUGAGAUCAUAAUCUUAGUUGAAGUCGGAUGCUCAACCACCUGAGCCUCCCAGGUGCCCCUUUGUGGUACUAUUUCAACAACGAUAAGAAAAGAAUGGCCAUCUUUAGGCAGAAAUAUUCAGACUUGUAAUAAUGGAAUUUUUGUGGUGGGAGAUUGAGGUCAGAUGUUGGAAACUGGAAUUCAAAUCUGUCAGCAAGAAUGAAACAGAAGAGGCUGUAGGAAUAGUGGGCAGUUUUAGUAAAAAUAUACUCUUCCCUUCCACUCCCCCCACCCCCAAAUCAGGACCUGAUUUUGGUCAAAAGCCCACAAAACUUUCUAUUCUUUAUGUAAUCUAAAUUUUAGUUUCAAAUGGAUUCUUAUAUAUAAACUGUUUGGGUCUGGAAUUUGGCAUGAAGGGGAGACAAAUAGAGUUCAAUUUUGUUCCUAACUUCUUUCACCAGGAGAACGAGAUUCCAUGCUUCGAGUUUUGAAAGGCAUGACUGCAAUUAGCAACGUGUGAAUAACAACAUACACAAUCUCUUCAUCAACAACAAGGAACUGCAUUCUGACCUUCACAUUGUCUACGUGUGCUACUGAGUGUGGGGUCAUAUCCUAAGCUUCAGCUCUAAUAAGCAUUCAUCACAGGGAAGGUACGAUCUUGGAUAUUCAGUUGGCUACAAAUAGCUUUAAGUACAUUUAUGGUCAAGUCAAAUGGUAGCUUUGCUGACACAUUAAUAGAAAAGCAUUGGUAAUUCAUGUCAGAAUGAGAUACAAAAUAAUAGGUGAAAAAUGAUUUCACAUAAAAGAAAUUUUGAUAAACCUAGAAAACAAUUUCAGUUAUUUUUGUCCAUUAACAUUAGCAUUUUAAAGAGCUACUUGAAUCACAUGUUGUUCCUUCCCAUAAGAAGAGAUUUUGAGUACAACAGGAUGAAUUUCUCAUUGAGAAACUUGUUUUUGCCCCAGUUUCCUUUCUAGUCUCCAGUAGGACACGGUCAUCAUUCAGUAUUGGUAUUGUAGCAACUUAGAUGUACCAAAUGGCAACAUAUAGGACUUAAGUCAGAGCCCCAUGGCAGUGACUCUGAAAAGACUAGUUUUAUUAGUUAUACUAUUAAGGGUUUUUUGUUGCUGUUUUAAAAGACUCCCAGAAAUCCAAAUUUACAUUUUGUGGAACAUGAGCCAAAACUACUUGAGGUUGUUAUGGAAAAAUGGUCUCAUUUUAAUGGUCUAUAUUACCUCUGGGACCCUGCUGGUCAAAGCUGUGUGGCCCACAAGGCAAAAAUUAGAAUGAUCUUUUUCAUAUUGUCUUAAUUUUUUAUUACUGACUUUGUUACAGCUUGAUCUUUGGAGGUGCUUUGUACUGUGUAAAUGAAAUUUACUGAAAAUGUACAUAAGUAACUGACGUCCCAAUAAAC
rnacentral:lncRNA from 1 species